rnacentral:rRNA from 1 species
CCUGGUGGCCUUUGCGUCAUGAAAAAACCCGAUCCCAUCCCGAACUCGGCCGUUAAGCGUGACAGCGCCGAUGGUACUAAAGCUCAAGCUUUGGGAGAGUAGGUCGUUGCCAGGC